UGCGAUAAGCGCCGGUAAGGUGAUAUGAACCGUUAUAACCGGCGAUACCCGAAUGGGGAAACCCAGUGUGAUUCGUCACACUAUCAUUAACUGAAUCCAUAGGUUAAUGAGGCGAACCGGGGGAACUGAAACAUCUAAGUACCCCGAGGAAAAGAAAUCAACCGAGAUUCCCCCAGUAGCGGCGAGCGAACGGGGAGGAGCCCAGAGCCUGAAUCAGCAUGUGUGUUAGUGGAAGCGUCUGGAAAGGCGCGCGAUACAGGGUGACAGCCCCGUACACAAAAGCGCAUGUGCUGUGAGCUCGAUGAGUAGGGCGGGACACGUGGUAUCCUGUCUGAAUAUGGGGGGACCAUCCUCCAAGGCUAAAUACUCCUGACUGACCGAUAGUGAACCAGUACCGUGAGGGAAAGGCGAAAAGAACCCCGGCGAGGGGAGUGAAAAAGAACCUGAAACCGUGUACGUACAAGCAGUGGGAGCACCCUUUGGGGUGUGACUGCGUACCUUUUGUAUAAUGGGUCAGCGACUUAUAUUCUGUAGCAAGGUUAACCGAAUAGGGGAGCCGGAGGGAAACCGAGUCUUAAUUGGGCGUUAAGUUGCAGGGUAUAGACCCGAAACCCGGUGAUCUAGCCAUGGGCAGGUUGAAGGUUGGGUAACACUAACUGGAGGACCGAACCGACUAAUGUUGAAAAAUUAGCGGAUGACCUGUGGCUGGGGGUGAAAGGCCAAUCAAACCGGGAGAUAGCUGGUUCUCCCCGAAAGCUAUUUAGGUAGCGCCUCGUGAAUUCAUCUCCGGGGGUAGAGCACUGUUUCGGCUAGGGGGCCAUCCCGGCUUACCAACCCGAUGCAAACUGCGAAUACCGGAGAAUGUUAUCACGGGAGACACACGGCGGGUGCUAACGUCCGUCGUGAAGAGGGAAACAACCCAGACCGCCAGCUAAGGUCCCAAAGUCAUGGUUAAGUGGGAAACGAUGUGGGAAGGCCCAGACAGCCAGGAUGUUGGCUUAGAAGCAGCCAUCAUUUAAAGAAAGCGUAAUAGCUCACUGGUCGAGUCGGCCUGCGCGGAAGAUGUAACGGGGCUAA
rnacentral:rRNA from 1 species